GGGAGGACUGCCCCCCACCAUAGCUCCAGUCCCAAGACCCCCAAGACAGAGACCCCUUUGUCAGCCAGGCCAAGAACUCUGAAGGAGGACUGCCCCCCAUAGUUCCAGUCCCAGGACCCCCAAGCUACAGACCCCUCUGACAGGCAGGUCAUCAACUUUGAGGGAAGACUGAACCCCAUAGCUCCAGUACCAGUACUCCCAAGCCAGAGAACCCUCUGUUAGCCAGAUAAGCACCAUCACCAGUGGCAGGUACUCACAUGAAGAAGCAGGACAGAUCUUCACCAUCAGGACUCUGGGGCAGAAACCUCCUGGCUAGAGGCUUGAAGCUCUCCCAGCAUCAGAAGUUGUAAUAAACACUCCUGAGGUUGCAGUUGUCGCCCAAUGAAGCCAUAGCCUGGGAAGUGUCCAGAAAUGAGCAUGCUAUGGAGAAAGGGAAAGAAGUGGAUGAAGGAGCUGAAAAGGCUGGUCGCAGUAGCCUGGGUCAUGGAUAAUGAUCCUUUUCAUGAAAAUGUUCAACAAUUGAGUGAAGACCCAGAAGUAACCAGGAAUGAACAAGGUUUCAGCUUGGGUAAAGUUGUGUG